GCAGCAGCCCCCCCGCCUUUUUUUUUUGCAUGCGUGCUCUUGGUUGCAUCCUGACCUCUACCUCAGGCUGACCCUUUGGAGGGGCAUGGGGGGGGGGGAAGAGAAGAGAGGAAGGGCGGGAGAUGGGAGACUUCUGCAGACACAGCCAUUAUGCAUCAAGGUGUGCGGCAAGCUGAGCAUGGAAGGUUGCCUCUCCUUAACUCCUGCUUCCACCUUCUAUUCUGCCUGUGCUCUUCAGUGCUCUCUCUCUCUAGCUCUGUGUCUUAGCCUUAGCUGUAAGCUUUAAAGCUCUCCCUCCUUCCCUUCCCUCCCCCCACCCCACUAAGCCUGCGAUGCAGCAGGAGGGAUUGAGUUGUAGUGGUGCUUGUUGGAGGGGGGGUGUAUGGGGGGGGGGGGUUGCCUCAUAAUUUUUUUUCUCUCCAAGUGAGGGCUAAUACUAUUACGGGGCCUGCUCUCUUUUUCCCUUCCUGCAUUAGAGAUUGGCUAUAAGGAGAAGGCUGACGGCUGCAGCAUGAAGCGCAUUAUUACCUUGUGAUUCCAUGACCCUCCUCUAUGCAUCCCUAACUCUCGAAAGCUGAUUCAGCUUUCAGCUAGUGCUCUGGUGACUCUACUGCUGCAACAGAAUCUUCUAACGGGUAUGUUACAGGCAUCUUCAGCUGUCAUGGAGUUCAACUGGAUGACAUUUAAAAAAUUUUUUUUAAAGCCAACCCCCAAGCCCCAAAAGGCAUGUCAUUUCUUUCCGGGGUUUCGUAUCUGCAAGGUAGUGUUUCACUUACAAUGACCUGCAAAGGAAAAAUCUCUGGAGUCUCUAGUUAAAGGAAUGAUCUGCUGCAGGUAUCAAAACCACUGAUACAUGUUCCAGGACCAGACUUCAGUGACUGGAGCCAAAGGACUGGGCCUCAGUGCAAAUCCACCGCUCACGAUCAUUUCAGCUGCAAAUGGAGUUUUAUCACUCACCACCUUCAAGCCUCAAUAGCGCAACAUUUGAAUGGAAGGCAGCAGGUGUUAACGAGAGUGUCCGAUGUUUGUACAUAUGUAAAUAGCUUGGUAAUAGAUAAGAUGCAAGAAUACCUAGCAUAGUUUCUGGGCUUUAUAGGACCAAUACACUACAAAUUGCUUCCAUUGGGCAGCUUUUUACAUCAACUCUUAACGGUGGACACAAGCUGGCCCACAUGAGGCAAAAUUCAUCGCACACUGACUGAUCUUAAUCUCAUGCUCUUCUUAAAAGUCACGUCAGUGGAAGAGACGACCUAAAAGGAAAGCAGAAUACUGCAGCUAAAUACUGCCAUGAAAAUCUGAGCUGUCACUCAGGCUGGUAAUUUGAUGCACUUGUCCCCAAAAAGCAAUUGACCUAAUUACUGUGAAAGUGUUAUUGUCUGUUUCUGAUUUUGUUCUAUUUCAUGUUUGUGUUAUUUCCAAUGUGCCCUGAGGUGCCUGCAUGACAGACACUUUAAAAGGCAAAAUUAUUUGUGUUUAGCACUUUGAAAGAGAAACAGUCAUCAAAGAUCUACACCCAACUUCACAUUAGUUACAGACUUGUGCAUAUGCAAUUCUCUUUGUACCCCAUGGGCCAUGCAAUUUGCUACUUUAACCUAGUAACACACUGUUUAAGGAAUACAAGUGACUCAGGCAAAGCAAUAGAGUCUAAUUCUUCUUGUGCUGUGUAUAACCCGCAUAACUAUCCUGAAGAGCAGGGCAAGAGCAGAUCCCCUUACAAAUGUACUGAUCCAUUGACUGUGAUUGUUUAUUCGUUUUAAUUAGCCAUGGAAUUCAGAUAUAUAAUUACAUGGAAUUAAUUUACAGUGUGACAUUUCUGAACAGGUAAUUAAAAUGUUUCAUUGUUGAUUAAUGAUGUGCAAAAUAAAUUAUUAGUAAUGUCA